UGAGAAUGCAAUUUAUAUUCUCUGACGCUAUCACAAACUUGACUGGCCAGCCUGUAGAGUGAUUGCUCGCAUCUAGUGUUUUAAAUAGGCAUUUUCCAAAAACAAACUCUAUCACUGAAGAAUGUAAGACUGUUUCUUUAGAGCCUUCCAUGCUUAACUUGAAAGCUGUCAACCCAGGAGGCUGAAACAGAGCAAGAUUAUGGAACCUGAGUGAAUAGCUCAUUCUUUGCGCCCAUGCCCUUGCUGAAUGCUGCCCCCUGGUACAAGCCUGAGAGAGCCUCCUCAAAGCUAAGACAUUAUAAUUUUGAAACCACUUGGAGGUGAAAGUCACUGUGUAUUCUCCAAGUUCC